UCCAGAAGUUGGCAAGGGGGUUUUUGGCUGCUGUGGUUAUUCCAUGGAGGAGCUUGUACUGCUGUGCAAAGGACAGGUGUUGAAGGGCCACCAAAAGGACAGGUCUGACAUGGCUCUCUCUGCACUGAAAAUGCCCUGGGGCAGUGAGCUGUAGUCCAGCUGUCCCCCUUGUUGACACUGGCCAGGCACUCCUGAUGAAAGGAUGGGCAUGAGCCAUUUGGAGAGCCUGUCCCCUGGCCAACUGGAGCAGGUGGGAGUGAAAUGAAUGAUUAAAUAAACAUGGUGGCCACUGCACACCCUCCAACAGUA